AUGUCCGCCGCGGCGGCGCACCCGCCAUCGCCAUGGCCGCCGCCGCCACCUCCGCCGGCGCCGACUGGACCCGACUCCCUCACCUCCCUUCUCGGCUCCCUCUCCACCCCCUCCGCCGCGCGCCUCCUCCCCUGCCCCGUCCUCGCCUUCUCCCAGCUCCGCCGCCUCCUCCCCUCUCCCCACCUCCUCCUCCGCCCCAUCAUCUCCCUCCUCCACCUCCACGGCUCCAGCCCCCGGCUGGGCUUGCAGCUGCACGCGCUGUCCCUCUCCCUCGGCCUCUCCCGGGACCCGCUCCUCCUCCGCCGCCUCGUCUCGCUCUACUGCUCCCACCCCUCCCUGCUGCCGGACGCCGCCUCCCUCGCCGCCGGCUCCGCCUGCCCCGUCCCCUACAACAUCCUCAUGUCCUCGUGCCUCGCCCACGGCCUCCCGCGCCAGGCCCUCGCCGCCUACCAGCAGAUGCUCGGCAGCGCCGCGGUCACCCCCGACGCCUUCACCUACCCUUCCGUCCUCCGCGCCUGCGCCGAGGCCCGGGACCUCGCGAUGGGCCGGGCGGUGCACACGCACGCCGCGGCCGCCGGGAUGGACGGGCACCUGUUCUUCCAGAACGCGCUGGUGUCCAUGUACGCCAAGUGCGGGGACCUGGUUGCUGCGCGAAGGGUGUUCGACGGAAUGGGGCACAAGGAUGUCGUGUCAUGGAACUCGAUGAUCUCGGCGUAUGCUACGGCCGGGCAAUGGGAAGAGGCGGUGGAGCUGUUUCAGAAGAUGCGAGACGAGGAGGCAGAGGUGAACUCGGUCACGUGGAACACGAUCGCUGGGGUGUACAUUAAGAUGCGCGACCAUAAGGCAGCGGUUGCGCUGAUCAGGGAGAUGGUAAGGGGUGGAGCAGAGGUGGAUUUCGUGACAGUGGUGAUUGGGCUGAACGCGUGCUCGCGGGUUGGCUGGCUGAGGCUCGGGAAGGAGAUCCAUGGAUUGGCAGUACGCAUGUGCUGUGACGGGGAACAGAGUGUCAGCAAUGCCUUGAUCACCAUGUAUGCCAGGUGCAAGGAUAUGGAUUGCGCUCACAGGCUGUUUACAAUGCUGGGGUGCCGCCCUGGUGUGGUGACAUGGAAUACGAUGAUAGCUAGUUUUGCAUUGUCAGAUGGGGCAGAAGAGGCUUCCAGAUUUCUUCGUGAAAUGGUAUCUACUGGCGUACAGCCUAAUUAUGUCACUGUUGUCACCUAUCUUGCCCUCUGCGCCCGUGUUGCAAAUCUGCAACAUGGGCGGGAGCUUCACACCCACAUUGUUAAGCAUGGGUUUAAAGGAUAUCGAUUGCUGUGGAACUCUCUUAUUGACAUGUACUCCAAGUCAGGCAGGCUCUCUGUAGCGCAAAAUGUCUUUGAUACCAUGGAGGACCGUGAUAUGAUAUCCUACACUUCAAUGAUAGCAGGAUACGGGAUGCAAGGGAAAGGAUCAGUUGCGCUAAGGCUUUUCGACCAGAUGAUUGAUAGUGGGAUUGAGCCAGACAGCAUUAUCAUGGUCACCGUCCUCUCUGCUUGCAGCCACUCUGGACUUGUGACUCAAGGAGAAGAGCUUUUUGACAAGAUGACCAGUUCAUAUGGUAUAAAGCCCCAGACAGAGCAUUAUACUUGCAUGGUUGAUCUAUAUGCGCGUGCUGGCCUAUUAGAAAAGGCAGAAGGGAUGCUCAAUCGGAGCUCUUUCAUUCCAACCCCCGCGAUGUGGGCAGCGUUAGUUGGGGCUUGUCAUGACAGGGGUAACAUAAUAAUUGGUGAAAGGGCAGCAAGGAGACUCUUGGAGAUGAGGACAGAGAAUGCUGGUCACUAUGUUCUAAUUGCCAACAUGUAUGCAGCUGCAGGUUGUUGGGAUGAGCUAGCAGAAGUCAGGAAGCUGAUGCGAGACUCAGGUGUCAUGAAAGCACCUGGGUUGGCAUGGGCUGAUCUCGGUAAUGGGUUUACCCCUUUUUUGGUUGGAGAUAGGUCAAACCCUCUAGCACCAGAGAUCUAUGAAGUUUUGGAUGAACUAUCGGAGCAAAUGAAGGAUAUAAAUAGCUGCAGUGAUCUAGAAAUGGUAGAGGGACUCAUAGAGUAA
rnacentral:rRNA from 1 species